rnacentral:rRNA from 1 species
GGAAGGUAUAGCAAUUGCUAAUUGUAUUAACAAAUAGUUUUUACAAUAUCGAUUUAAUCGACUAAAAUUCUAGGUAGAUUUAUGAUGAUGACAUUAUCUAUCUAUGUGUCUUGACCAAAUUACGUGCCAGCUGUCGCGGUAAGACGUAGAAGACUAGUGUUAUUCAUCUUUAAUUGGUUUAAAGCGUACCUAGACGGUAAUUAAAGCCUACAUCAGGUACUUGUUUACUAGAGUUAUAUGUAAGGGUGUAUUAAAGUACUGUUGAGUGUAGAGAUGAAAUUCGUUGAUACCAAAUAAUUGGCACAGGUAUAGGCGAAAGCAUCACUUUAUGUAAUAACUGACGUUGACGGACGAAGGCUUUGUGUCGCGAACAGGAUUAGAUACCCCAGUAGUCUUAGCAGAAAAUUAUGAGUGUCAUAGGUUAGAUUUUAUCUGGUCUAUAAAUGAAAGUGUAAGCACUCCACCUCAAGAGUAAUUUGGCAACAUUGGAACUGAAAUCAUUAGACCGUUUCUGAAACCAGUAGUGAAGUAUGUUGUUUAAUUUGAUGAUCCGCAAAGAACCUUACCACAAUUUGAAUAUAAAUGAUUUAUUUUUACAAGCGUUGCACGGCUGUCUUCAGUUAAUGUCGUGAGAUAUUGGUUUAUUCCAUUAAAUUAACGUAAACCCGUACUUUAUUUUUAUAUAAAGUUGUUCAUUCGCUAUAAUGGAUGUAAUAAGAGGGACUAAGACAAGUCAUCAUGGC